rnacentral:rRNA from 1 species
GUCGAGGAUCAUUCGCAAUGGGCGAAAGCCUGACGAUGCGACGCUGCGUGGAGGAUGACGGCCUUCGGGUUGUAAACUCCUGUCAUGGGGGGCGAGGCGGAGGCGGUUAACGGCCGCCCGAGUUGACGGUACCCCAAGAGGAAGCCACGGCUAACUCUGUGCCAGCAGCCGCGGUAAUACAGAGGUGGCGAGCGUUGUUCGGAUUUACUGGGCGUAAAGGGCGCGUAGGCGGCCGCGUGUGUGGGGUGUGAAAUCUCCGGGCUCAACCCGGAAAGUGCGCUCCAAACUGCGCGGCUCGAGUGCGGGAGGGGAGAUCGGAAUGCAGGGUGUAGCGGUGAAAUGCGUUGAUAUCCUGCAGAACACCGGUGGCGAAGGCGGAUCUCUGGAACGCAACUGACGCUGAGGCGCGAAAGCAGGGGGAGCAAACAGGAUUAGAUACCCUGGUAGUCC